ensembl:lncRNA
UAUUCAGUUGUAUUAGCCCAAUAUUGACUUGGUGAAAAGUGCAUCGAUGUGAUUGAGUUGUGAUGUAUGACAAUUGAUGACAAAUGAUCGUGAUCCAUGUGAAGUGUUUCUCCUCGUGUCAAAAACACGAUUUGUUGACUAAUCAUAAAGCAGGGGAGAAAGAAAAGUGCUUUAUAGGCCAUCUGUGAGAUCCAAAUUGUGUUCAUCAGUACAGAAGAGUCUAAAGUCCACUACCGUUGUUUUUUUUGUUAUCCUAAAAAAGCCACAUUUAUGUAUUUUUGCUUUGUUUUUGUGCUUUUGCAAAAUUCAUAGAUUUAACAGGGGAAGCUAAUUCCAUUUUUUUUUGUCUUUUACAUUUAUUUUUGUCCUGCUCUGGUUUCUAAAACAUUUUCAACCCCAAAAAGCCAAAGCUAUUGUUAAUGCUGUGUCCCUAUGGUCACAGUCGGAAAUAAAAGACCCUUAAUUUAAGUUUGCCUGUGUUUU